GGUAAAAUGGCUGAGUAAGCAUUAGACUGUAAAUCUAAAGACAGAGGAAGUCCUCUUUUUGCCA
rnacentral:tRNA from 6 species